rnacentral:lncRNA from 10 species
GAAAUCCGAGAUGAUCAUACCUUGAAAAUUAGGAAGGUGACAGCUGGUGACAUGGGUUCAUACACUUGUGUUGCAGAAAAUAUGGUGGGCAAAGCUGAAGCAUCUGCUACUCUGACUGUUCAAGUUGGGUCUGGUAAGUUGACAUUUUAUUGGCCAUCUUCUCAUCACCGUGUCACUGUGACUGGAACUUCUCUUCCCCUUUCCAUCCAUACCCUUCCAUGUCCUUCAACCAAUCAGCCUCCAUGUUUCACUUGUCAUUGGCCACAAAGACAGACUGCACAGAAUAAAGUCUGCAGGAAGUAUGGGUAACUGUGAAAAGAGUAAAGGUAACGGGGUUGCUAACUUUAUAUCUUAUGAAAUUAAAUGAUGUGUGAUCUGCAUCCUUUUAUUUCUUCUCUCCUGAAAUAAGUGAUAGGAUUACAUCUUGGUUAAGUACUGUUCGAAUAUAUAUAUAUCGUAAGAUUAAACAAAAAUACAUGCAGAGAAUGAUUUUGGUUCUUUUGGUUCAAAAUAUAUUUGUGAAUUCAUGUAUAUCUCUCUGAGUUUUUAUAACUAUUGUUCUAUAACAGUCAUUAAAAGUCCUGUUGGUGAAU